rnacentral:lncRNA from 1 species
CCCCUGUCCCAUCCCAGUGUCCCCUGUCCCAUACCAGUGUCCCCACGCCCUGUGCUGUGCCAUUAAUGUCCCCUGUGUCCCCUCCCAGACCGACUGUUUCAACUACGUGCGCUUCCUGCAGAGCUACAACAGCUCUCACCUCUACGCCUGUGGCACCUACGCCUUCCAGCCCAAGUGCACCUACAUCGUGAGUGGGGGUCCCCAAAGCCCAGGGGACCCCAGUUCCACCCUGCAGGGUGGCCUUGUCCCCAGGGGUGGCAUUGAGGGGUGACACUAAAUGGGUGGGGUGGGGUUUGUGUGCGUGAGGGAGGGGUGGGGGUGUCUGCUGUGCACUUGGGGUGUCCCAGGUGGGUCAUUUUGGAGGGGUUCCUGUCCCCAGGGUGGCCCAGGGGUGUCCCUGUCCCCAGGAUGGGUCAUUUUGGAGGGGUUCCUGUGCUCAGGGUGGCCCAGGGGUGUUCCUUUCCCCAGGAUGGGUCAUCCAGGGGUGUCCCUGUCCUCAGGGUGAUCCAAGGAUGUCCCUGUCCCCAGGAUGGCUCAUCCAGGAGUGUCCCUGUCCCCAGGAUGGCUCAUCCAGGAGUGUCCCUGUCCCCAGGAUGGCUCAUCCAGGGGUGUCCCUGUCCCCAGGGUGGCCCAGGGGUGUCCUUGUCCCCAUAAGGGGUUAUCCAGAGAUGUCCCUGUCCCCAGGAUGGCUCAUCCAGGGCUGUCCCUGUCUCCUCGAGGGCUGUCCCUGUCCCCAGGAGGGUCACUCAGGGGGUGUCCCUGUGCCUGGGGCCUGUCUGGCACAGGGGGGACCUGACUUAGGACCCCCCACCCUCCCUGUGCCCCCCAGGAGCUCUCCGGCUUCACCCUGGACCCGGUGGCAUUCGAGGACGGCAAAGGCAAAUGUCCCUACGACCCCACCAAGGGCCACACCGGCCUCAUCGUGGACGGGGAGCUCUACUCCGCCACCUUCAACAACUUCCUGGGCACGGAGCCCGUCAUCCUGCGCAACCUGGGCCCGCACUACUCCAUGAAGACGGAGUACCUGACGUCCUGGCUGAACGGUGGGGCGCGGCGGGGGCGCGGGGAGGGGACACCAGGGGACACCA